rnacentral:lncRNA from 1 species
GGGGACCCGGAGUGGUUCUGGGCAAAAUCCUUCAUCUUGGCUGAAUGAAAAAGAGAAAGAAAGAAAGAAAACAUGACUGGUCCUGGUUUUCGGCGCCAUGUGUAUGAGAAAAAGAAAUAAAAAGAAAGGAAGAGGACUGGUCCCAGGAGGAAAACCAAAUAGCCUUAGAACUCAUGGAAUUUGUCCCACCGGUUAGCACAACCACAUCAAGAGGCAGAACCCCGACUGUCCUGAGGACUUCUUGCUGUUGUGGAGUUUUGCUCUGCUCACCGUCUUCAAGAUCACCACAUCCCUCUUGAUUACUUCAGAAACCACAACCAACUGAAACCAACCAACAUCCCAUCAACAAUGACCAAGACCAACCGACAGUAGUCUUGCCUCUCUCAUGGUCCUAGCAUUUAUACACUCUCAGAACAGUUCCGAGGUUCCGAAUGUCAUAUCAUCACAGGACUAUCAACAGCUGACAAACCAUGCUUUUGCUAGAGCACAAAGCAAAUCAUACUCAGCUGCUGUAGAAUCUGAACUUAGAAAGAGUUGAGAAGGUAUUUGAAGAAAAGAUGGUUGGAAACACCCCACAGUUGGUGGAAGAUGUGAAUCCACAGACAUGCACAGAACCCUCUGUUCAACUCAAGUGCCCAGGAUAUACUCUUCAGGAUGGACGGCAUGACAAGCCAGGGAGUUUGAAAGAGUUGCGAGAUGCCUGGAAAGGUGAUAUGCUCUCCAGAAGCCCUCUGCAUGAAACCAUUCUCACUACAUGAAGGCUAUGAGCAGUUAGUCCGGACAGAGUUGGGCUCACUUAGAGGAAAACUGGUUGUCUCUAAGAGCUUGGCUAUGGAUCUGGGCUUGCAAGAGAAGCAGGGAGUCAUCUGGGAUGCACUUCAUAUUUCCCAAGGCAGUCUCCUGACCCUGCAUGGCUUUGUCCGGGGAGAUGAGGACCUGGAAGACAACAGCAUCCUUCUGGGGGAACUAGGCGCUGAGUUAAAGGGCUAUUAUAAACAAACUGCCCUAACACUAAAGCAUACACUUGUAAACCAUAGUGAUUCCCCUUCGAAAAUAGGUGUUAUAGUCAAGAUAAUGUACUUGGGUCAUAAGACAGUGUGUCUUUAUGAUUCAAGCUCAAAAAUACGUUACCCCCAAAAAUAUUAUCUGACAAUCAAGACAGUAAGGGACUUAGAGAAGGCUUUGCUGAAGUCCUGUGUAACAUGUGUAGCCUAACUCCUUCUUGCUGAUUGACCCGAUCCAGGGGUCAGUCAACGGGGUCUGCAAGGAUGAGAGUGGGGAUGGAGGGGCAAAAGACAGGAAGAAUGGAGACAAGACAGGCUAUCUGAUCAAGUCUUGUUUAUUGAAAGGCAACUAUGGGUAUAUAAGCACACACUGGGGACUGCAACUGGAGACACCUAGCCAAAAGUCCAGGAUGUGUUUAAGGAAAACAAGAUGUUAUCAGAGUGUAUUCAGCUAUGGUGAGCUUCUUACAAAAACCUCUAGUUCCUGUUCUUCUGUAACUCUUCAAAACAUAAAUUUAGGGUGGGUAUGGGGGACUUUUGGUAUAGCAUUGGAAAUGUAAAUGAGCUAAAUACCUAA